GCUUCGAUGGCGCAGUUGGCAGCGCGUGAGUCUCAUAAUCUCGAGGUCGUGAGUUCAAGCCUCACUCGGAGCA
rfam:Batrachochytrium dendrobatidis JAM81 unplaced genomic scaffold BATDEscaffold_13, whole genome shotgun sequence.